UGGGGAAUAUUGGACAAUGGGCGAAAGCCUGAUCCAGCAAUACCGCGUGUGUGAAGAAGGCCUUAGGGUUGUAAAGCACUUUCAAUUGGGAGGAAAACCUGCCGGUCAAUACCCGGUAGCUUGACAUUACCUUUAGAAGAAGCACCGGCUAACUCCGUGCCAGCAGCCGCGGUAAUACGGAGGGUGCGAGCGUUAAUCGGAAUUACUGGGCGUAAAGCGUGCGUAGGCGGUUCGUUAAGUCAGAUGUGAAAGCCCUGGGCUCAACCUGGGAACUGCAUUUGAAACUGGCGGACUAGAGUUUAGUAGAGGGGAGUGGAAUUUCAGGUGUAGCGGUGAAAUGCGUAGAUAUCUGAAGGAACACCAGUGGCGAAGGCGACUCCCUGGACUAGAACUGACGCUGAGGUACGAAAGCGUGGGUAGCAAACAGGAUUAGAUACCCUGGUAGUCCACGCCGUAAACGAUGUCGACUAGCCGUUGGUCCUAUUUACAGGAUUAGUGGCGCAGCUAACGCAUUAAGUCCACCGCCUGGGGAGUACGGCCGCAAGGUUA
rnacentral:rRNA from 1 species